GAGUGCAAUCAUACCAACACAAAAUGCACUAGAUCCUAUCAGAACUCCGAAGUUAAAUGUGCUUGGGCGAGAGUAGUACUAAGAUCGGUGACCUCUUGGGAAGUCCUCAUGUUGUACCCC
rnacentral:rRNA from 1 species